GGGCCCGCACAAGCGGUGGAGCAUGUGGUUUAAUUCGAUGAUACGCGAGGAACCUUACCAGGACUUAAAUGUAAGUUGCAUGAUUCAGAAAUGAAUCUUUCUUCGGACUACUUACAAGGUGCUGCAUGGUUGUCGUCAGCUCGUGCCGUGAGGUGUCAGGUUAAGUCCUAUAACGAGCGCAACCCCUAUCGUUAGUUGCCAUCAAGUAAAGUUGGGAACUCUAGCGAAACUGCCGGUGCAAACCGAGAGGAAGGUGGGGAUGACGUCAAAUCAUCACGGCCCUUACGUUCUGGGCUACACACGUGCUACAAUGGUCGGUACAGAAAGCAGCCACUAUGCGAAUAGGAGCUAAUCUUUAAAACCGAUCUCAGUUCGGAUCGCAGUCUGCAACUCGACUGCGUGAAGCUGGAAUCGCUAGUAAUCGGAUAUC
rnacentral:rRNA from 1 species